GAGGCCUAGGGGGCAGAGACACACACGUUAAACUCAAGAAAGGUCUAGAAGGAAAGUAAGAUGGCAUGACAGCCUUUAACAUUGACCGGCCGGUCAAGCAGACGAGAGAGAGAGAGAGGGAUGGAGAGAGAGAGAGAGAGAGAGAGAGAGAGAGAGAGAGAGAGAGAGAGAGAGAGAGAGAGAGAGAGAGAGAGAGAGAGAGAGAGAGAGAGAGAGAGAGUGUGUGUGCGUGCGUUUGUGAGUGUUUGAGUGUGUGCCUUUGGCCUGAAUGUGUGCACGUGUGUGCACGUGUGUCUGUGUACGAAGACGAACAAACACAACAGAGUUAUGUCAGAACGCAUUCCAGGAUCCAAGUGGAAGAUCAACAUUGAGGGCGUGAGGUGACGACCAUACAAUGUAGGGUGUGUGUCUUCUUGUGCAUCACGCAGUCUACCUGGUAUGAUCUCAACAUUUGAAUUGUGUCCUGUUAGAGUGAGAUAUCAUGCAAUAAGCAGGUGAAUAAUACGGAGUAAAUACAAGAGAGGCUUUCAUUACAGCCCAAAAGUGGCGGGAGGUCAGAGCAGAGUCGACGACAGAGGAGCUACCAGAGUAACGCUGCUAGGCUAGCUAGGCCGUAGCUUAGCUCCCGCCCCUGCUUGUCCAGCCUCCGACGACUGAAACAGGGGGGUGCAACGGAGCUCGAGGAGAAGAGCUGGAGAUUUGGCGAUAGACGGAGGUGAAGCAGCUGAUGACUUCCUGUAUGAGCUACCUCCACGCAGGCUCCCAGGCCCACAGGAAGCAGCACCAGCAGACUGGUAUCCUCCAGCAGAUGGACGAAGACCAGCAGAGUGCCCAGGCAACGCCACACAACUACAGAGGACACGGUGGGAAGAUAUGGGCGGAAAUCGACACUAACACAAACCUACUAUCUUUAAACGGUGUGCCAAAGGAAAUGUACUCAACUGUUGACCAACUGUUUUUAGAGAGAUGAUGAGGACUAACUUUUUAAUGUCACUCUUUUACUUAAAUAUACAUGAGCAUUGAAUGUCCUAUACUCUAGCAUCACAAUUUAAAUUCAACUUUAUAAUAAGACACCAAGCAGCCUUAAUCAAAAUGAGGCCACGAAGCAACCAAAGACGCCCGAAAUAUCUCCUUUCCCGCUCUUUGGAAUGUGGGCUACAUUAGAGAGGCUGCUAUGUAGCCCACCUGCCAAAGAAGAUCCAUUCUUAAGUAAAGAAACCAAACUCUUAAAGCAAACCACAAGUUCAACACUAACAAUUUUUUAUAGCAUUUGAAAGUAUUUUCACGGCUUUGCAAUUUGAGUUCAGUGUUUAAAUCUUGAGGACUUUCCCGUUGGCCACAACAGAGGACAUCCUCUAUAGAUAUUCGGCACAUGUACCAUAACUUUGGGAGAGCAUUGUUUGAACAGAUCCUGUUGUGCUCCUUACCUGUCCUCCUUGACAUGCCCGCCAUGCUCUUCUUCUUCCUCCACGACGUGAUGUCGUUUUUAAGGGCCAGGAAUUCACAGAUGAGCUGCAACGUAUACAACACAUCUAUGAACGCAUGCACACAGACGCACGGGGUGUGUGGUGGCGUGUGGUCUCACAUGCAGAGCUGUGACCAGGGCGGUCAGGAUCAGCAGGUAGACGUUGGAGCCCCGCAGUGUCUCCUUGAUCUCGUCGAUGUUCUCCUCUGUGAAACCUGCAACAGUAACAGUGGGUCGGCUUAGCUCAGGAGGUAGAGCAGUUGUCUUGUAGCCGAAAGGUUGCUAGUUCGAUCCCCGGCUCCGCGUAGCUGAGUGUUGAUGUGUCCCCGAGCGAGAGACUUAACCCUAAGCCGGCUGUCGCCUUGCAUGGUUGACUCUGCCGUUGGUGUGUCAACGUGUGUAUUAACCGUUGUAAGUCGCUUUGGAUAAAAGCGUCUGCUAAAUGCGCUACCGAUAAAUAACAGAACACAGUGGACCCACAAGUCUCUGGUGUAUUUCACUACACAGAAGCUGCUUCGUCG